UACGAAGGGGGCUAGCGUUGCUCGAAUCACUGGGCGUAAAGGGUGCGUAGGCGGGUCUUUAAGUCAGGGGUGAAAUCCUGGAGCUCAACUCCAGAACUGCCUUUGAUACUGAGGAUCUUGAGUUCGGGAGAGGUGAGUGGAACUGCGAGUGUAGAGGUGAAAUUCGUAGAUAUUCGCAAGAACACCAGUGGCGAAGGCGGCUCACUGGCCCGAUACUGACGCUGAGGCACGAAAGCGUGGGGAGCAAACAGG
rnacentral:rRNA from 1 species